rnacentral:rRNA from 1 species
GAUGAACGCUGGCGGCGUGCUUAACACAUGCAAGUCGAACGGAAAGGCUCCUGCCUGCAGGGGUACUCGAGUGGCGAACGGGUGAGUAACACGUGGGUGAUCUGCCCUGUACUUCGGGAUAAGCCUGGGAAACUGGGUCUAAUACCGGAUAUGACAAUCUCUUGGAUGGGGUUGUGGAAAGCUUUUGCGGUAUGGGAUGAGCUCGCGGCCUAUCAGCUUGUUGGUGGGGUAAUGGCCUACCAAGGCGUCGACGGGUAGCCGGCCUGAGAGGGUGUACGGCCACAUUGGGACUGAGAUACGGCCCAGACGCCUACGGGAGGCAGCAGUGGGGAAUAUUGCACAAUGGGCGCAAGCCUGAUGCAGCGACGCCGCGUGGGGGAUGACGGCCUUCGGGUUGUAAACUCCUUUCGCAACCGACGAAGCUUUUGUGACGGUAGGUUGAGAAGAAGCACCGGCUAACUACGU